AGGGUUUGAUCCUGGCUCAGAUUGAACGCUGGCGGAAUGCUUUACACAUGCAAGUCGAACGGCAGCACGGGAGCUUGCUCCUGGUGGCGAGUGGCGAACGGGUGAGUAAUAUAUCGGAACAUGUCCAAUAAUGGGGGAUAACUAUCCGAAAGGAUAGCUAAUACCGCAUACGCCCUGAGGGGGAAAGCGGGGGAUCGUAAGACCUCGCGUUAAUGGAGUGGCCGAUAUCUGAUUAGCUAGUUGGUGAGGUAAAGGCUCACCAAGGCGACGAUCAGUAGCUGGUCUGAGAGGACGACCAGCCACACUGGAACUGAGACACGGUCCAGACUCCUACGGGAGGCAGCAGUGGGGAAUUUUGGACAAUGGGCGCAAGCCUGAUCCAGCCAUUCCGCGUGAGUGAAGAAGGCCUUCGGGUUGUAAAGCUCUUUCGCAAGGGAAGAAAACUUACCCAAUAACACUGGGUGAGGCUGACGGUACCUUGAUAAGAAGCACCGGCUAACUACGUGCCAGCAGCCGCGGUAAUACGUAGGGUGCGAGCGUUAAUCGGAAUUACUGGGCGUAAAGCGUGCGCAGGCGGUUUUGUAAGUCAGAUGUGAAAGCCCCGGGCUCAACCUGGGAACUGCGUUUGAAACUACAAGGCUAGAGUGUAGCAGAGGGGGGUAGAAUUCCACGUGUAGCAGUGAAAUGCGUAGAGAUGUGGAGGAAUACCAAUGGCGAAGGCAGCCCCCUGGGUUAACACUGACGCUCAUGCACGAAAGCGUGGGGAGCAAACAGGAUUAGAUACCCUGGUAGUCCACGCCCUAAACGAUGUCUACUAGUUGUUGGGAGAGUAAAAUCUCUUAGUAACGCAGCUAACGCGUGAAGUAGACCGCCUGGGGAGUACGGUCGCAAGA
rnacentral:rRNA from 1 species